UCCUCCCUCAAACCUCCGGGUUUGGUGUUGGACCACGUCGGACCCCUCUGGCGGUCGACGGGUCUCAAAGACAAUGACGGCGUCCGUGGGACCCUCUUCGCACUGAGCUUUCCGGAGCACGCGUCGAGUUGCAAGGUCUCGGGGACCCGGCCUCAACUAUUUAUCUUUCA
rnacentral:misc_RNA from 1 species